rnacentral:lncRNA from 1 species
UUUAAGAGGGAAAUAGGGAUUUGUAUCCAUGAGAAUUUAUAGCAAUUAAUUUGGAGUGGAAAAGGUAAUAAAAAUAUUGUCUGCCCACUUAAAAGAAAGUGCCCCAUUUAUGGUAAAUCAUUACCUAGUAUUGGAACUACCAUCUAUAGCAUUUUUACACGCAACCUCAACUCAACCAUUUCCAUCUUCAUCAAACUGUAUCGACCAUCUCUGCUAGGGCAACAAAAAUCCUUUCACAAGCUCAACAAGAUGUCACAACAUCCUUCAUCUUCUAGUUCAAAACCCACGCACAAAGCAAGAACACCAUCCAAGGAUUUUAUUCAUGAAGA